AGAUUGAACGCUGGCGGCAUGCCUAACACAUGCAAGUCGAACGGGAGUAGCAAUACUCUAGUGGCGGACGGGUGAGGAAUACGUAGGAAUUUGCCCUUAAGUGGGGGAUAACCCGGGGAAACCCGGAUUAAUACCGCAUGACCUCGAAAGAGCAAAGUGGGGGAUCGCAAGACCUCACGCUUUUGGAGAAGCCUACGUCGGAUUAGCUAGUUGGUGAGGUAAUGGCUCACCAAGGCGACGAUCCGUAACUGGUCUGAGAGGAUGAUCAGUCACACCGGAACUGAGACACGGUCCGGACUCCUACGGGAGGCAGCAGUGGGGAAUAUUGGACAAUGGGCGCAAGCCUGAUCCAGCAAUGCCGCGUGUGUGAGAAGGCCUUCGGUUAGUAAGCACGUUUAAGUUAGGGAAGAAAAACUCGACGUACUAACACAGUGAGU
rnacentral:rRNA from 1 species